rnacentral:rRNA from 1 species
GACGGGGGGGGGCAAGUGUUCGUCGGAAUGACUGGGCGUAAAGGGCACGUAGGCGGCUUUGUAUGUUAGAGGUGAAAGCCCGGGGCUCAACUCCGGAAUUGCCUUUAAGACUGCAUCGCUCGAAUUGUGGAGAGGUAAGUGGAAUUCCGAGUGUAGAGGUGAAAUUCGUAGAUAUUCGGAAGAACACCAGUGGCGAAGGCGACUUACUGGACACAUAUUGACGCUGAGGUGCGAAAGCGUGGGGAGCAAACAGG